AAGAAAGUCCUAAGAACUGCUAACUCUUUACACCAUGCCUAACCGCAUGGCUUUCUUA
rnacentral:tRNA from 1 species